rnacentral:rRNA from 1 species
GAUGAACGCUGGCGGCGUGCCUAAUACAUGCAAGUCGAGCGAACAGACGAGGAGCUUGCUCCUUUGACGUUAGCGGCGGACGGGUGAGUAACACGUGGGUAACCUACCUAUAAGACUGGGAUAACUUUGGGAAACCGGAGCUAAUACCGGAUAAUAUUUCGAACCGCAUGGUUCGAUAGUGAAAGAUGGCUUUGCUAUCACUUAUAGAUGGACCUGCGCCGUAUUAGCUAGUUGGUAAGGUAACGGCUUACCAAGGCAACGAUACGUAGCCGACCUGAGAGGGUGAUCGGCCACACUGGAACUGAGACACGGUCCAGACUCCUACGGGAGGCAGCAGUAGGGAAUCUUCCGCAAUGGGCGAAAGCCUGACGGAGCAACGCCGCGUGAGUGAUGAAGGUCUUCGGAUCGUAAAACUCUGUUAUUAGGGAAGAACAAACGUGUAAGUAACUGUGCACGUCUUGACGGUACCUAAUCAGAAAGCCACGGCUAACUACGUG